UACGGAGGGUGCAAGCGUUAAUCGGAAUUACUGGGCGUAAAGGGUGCGUAGGCGGUUGUUUAAGUCUGUUGUGAAAUCCCCGGGCUCAACCUGGGAAUGGCAAUGGAUACUGGACAGCUAGAGUGUGUCAGAGGAUGGUGGAAUUCCCGGUGUAGCGGUGAAAUGCGUAGAGAUCGGGAGGAACAUCAGUGGCGAAGGCGGCCAUCUGGGACAACACUGACGCUGAGGCGCGAAAGCCAGGGGAGCAAACGGG
rnacentral:rRNA from 1 species